rnacentral:rRNA from 1 species
UACGUAGGGUGCAAGCGUUAAUCGGAAUUAUUGGGCGUAAAGGGUGCGCAGGCGGAUGUAUAAGUCAGAUGUGAAAUCCCCGGGCUUAACCUGGGAAUUGCGUUUGAAACUAUAUGACUAGAGUGUGGUAGAGGGGAGUGGAAUUCCAUGUGUAGCAGUGAAAUGCGUAGAGAUGCGGAAGAACACCGAUGGCGAAGGCAGCUCCCUGGAUUAACACUGACGCUCAUGCACGAAAGCGUGGGGAGCAAACAGG